rnacentral:lncRNA from 10 species
AAAAUUACCCAUCACAGACGGGUCUCAGAAAAGGAACUGGGAAGGUUUGAAUGACUUUACAGCCAACUGUAGCCACAGCGUGACCUUGGGCAGUCAUUUUCCUCUCUGAGCCUCAUUAUCUGUAAGAUGAGGGGCCUGAAUUGGGUGAUCUGUAAGGGUUUGGGCAUAAAAUGGCAAGGUGAGCGUGAACAUCUAGUUUAUCUCCCCUCCCGGAUUCUCAUGGGGGAAUUUCCAACGGAGUUUGGGAUGGCAGGGACUUGGAUCAGACACGGAAAGGAGGCAGAGGAUGCUCGUUAAGGUGUUUCCUACCCAGCACCCAUUUCCUUCUGCCCUACAGUAUCCCAGCUUUCAUUCAGAUUCCUGCCUUCCCUCACGUAACCCAUGUGCUUCAAGACUGACCUCAUUGCCAGCACCAGGGAUUGGUCCAAUUGGCCUAAGCGGAUUUCUAUCCCUAACCAUUGAUUGUUUCAGGAAUCCAGGCCUGAGCGGAUUCACGCAUGACGUCUCCCUGGACACAGGGAUGGGUUCACAAAGGGGUUGGAGUCACUGAGAUGUGAGGAGAAGUCUGCUGGCAGCUUCUGGGACAUUACACCCUGGUGCUGAAGAGAUCGCUGCCGGAAGAGGCUGUCUUCCUGGGCAUGUUGUCAGCAAACGGAAACCUAACAGAGACACUGUAAAGGCUACUAUUCCAAUUUUUCUGGAAUUAGUGCUGGGAGAACCCUGACAGAGCCCUUCUCCUCUUCUGUCUUCGAUAGCCGGGGGCGGGCCGACCCAGCACGCAGGAGGCUUGCACCGCAAAGCCUUCUCGCUGAACCAGGCAGCAGAUCCAUCCCACGGGGCUUCCUCCCACGUGAGAAACGUAGGAAAAGACGCUGCAAAUCAAAGACGACCACCCUGGAGAAGCAGGAGAAACUCCCCAACUUGAGUGAAUGUAUCAACAUUUCAGAAAAUGUAGGAGGUGGAUGUUACUGUUUAAUCUGCUCAGCAUCCUUCCCCCACCCCUUUUGAUAACUGGCCUCAUCCACUGGACACACUUCUUGGAAUGAGACCCGGGCUAGGCCAAUCAGCCUCUCCCUGAAGUGUUUCCCUGAAGCUGGAAGAGAGGAACUCUGUUCCCUCUUGGAUUACAGAGCUGAAAGGAGAUGAAUUUGAUGCUACUAGUGUUCAUGUUUCUAACCAAGGGAGAUGGGGCCUAGCAAGCCUUAAUGGUCUUCAUAUAUUUUCCAUCAGACCUUUUAAGCUUCCCCCAUGGUGACCAGCCCCAGAGUAAUGCACAUUUAAUUCAACUUUCAAUGCAGGAAAAUCAAUUGCAUUGCACCACAGACUGUUUAUUACACGUAAUCUGAAGUUCAACACAUAAAGAAAUAAGCAAUAUACACAAACCAUGGCACUUAAGAGUUCAAUUUGGGGACCUAUUUCCCCCCAGAAAUCAAAAUACUUAUAUUGUCCUAAAAUAUUUCACAUUAUAAAAUAAAGUUUUUCUGUUUUUUUUUGUUUUUUAAUCCAGGCUGGAAUUGCUUGAAACUUUUUUUUUCCUUUGACUUUUAUUUUAAGUUCAGGGGUACAUGUGCAGGAUGUGCAAGUUUGUUACAUAGGUAAAUGUGUGCCAUGGGAAACUUUUAAAAUAAUAAUUAUGAUGGCUUUUAUUUUAACAAUGCUUUAUAGUUCACAAAUUGUUUUCAGAUAUCUUACCCUAUUUUGAUCUUCCUCCUCAAAUGCUUGUGAAUUAGAUAGGACAAGUAAACCCAUUUAGCAGAUGAAGAAACUGAGCGAUGAGAAGAGCCCAACUACAAGAAUGAGGAGCGCCUAACACCCACCCAGUCUAGGAUGUUAUUAAUCCCAAAAGAACUUCAUUCUAUUUGGAGCUCGUGGGGGUGGAGAGAUGGAAGCAGGAAGAACCUAAAUUGUGUCUACCACUGGAAUUCAGAUUUGUCUUGACUUGAUAAGGUAGGCUCACCAGAAGGCUUUAUGUUUUCUGCUAGUUUGUUUUGUAGGUUUUUAGAGAUCUCUCAGGUGGAGAGGGUUGAAUUCAUCAUACCCCUCAAUUCAUGGUACGUUAUCAUCACCAAGGAACUGCUCUUGUUUUAUUCAAUUACGUACUUUCCUUUUAUACACCAUCCAUAUUCCUUUUUUUUUUUUUUUUUUGACAAGGUUUCACUCUGUUGCCCAGACUGGAGUGCAGUGGCACAAUCAUAGCUCAUUAUAGCCUUGACUUCCUGGGCUCGAUAGAUCUGCCUGCCUCAGCCUCCUGAGUAGCUGGGACUACAGGUAUGUGCCACCACACCCAGCUAAUUUUUUUGUAUUUUUUGUAGAGAUGGGCUUUCACCAUGUUGCCCAGGCUAGUCUUGAAUUCCUGGGCUCAAACGAUCUGCCCAUCUAGGCUUCCUAAAGUGUUGGGAUUACAGGUGUGAGCCACGGAACCCAGCCCAUGCUCCGUUUAUAUAGAGUUCAAAAUAGGCAAGGCUAUUCUCUAGUUUCCAGGGUGGGGGUGCAGAUAAUACUUUAGUUUUUUUUUUUUAAUCUGGAUCAUGUUUAUAUAGAGUUAUUCAUUUUGCAAAAAUCUAUUGUGCUGUGUACUUAAUAAUUGGUGUAGCUUUCUG